UAGAGCCUUGGAGGACAUCAUGCAUCUUAUCAACUUUAUUGCUGGUCCUGGUGGGGAAUUGGUUAGUGGCUCAAAGUACCUUUUCUACAAACCAUUUGAUUCAGUGAAAGACAUAUUAGAAGUACAUUAUGUGUGCAAGAGUUGCAAGGUAAGCAUGCAGGAAGGUCCCUUUAAUGUCAAGUGCCCAGUCUGUGACCAGGACACAUCAAAAGCGCAUGCACAAAAAGACCAGUGUUUUUUGUACUUGCCACUAAAAUACCAAAUUAAAAAACUGCUUGAGGACCACCAAUUAGGGAAACACCUGAAACACCGCUUUGAGAAGAAGGAUGCCUCCAUCAAAGAUAUAUAUGAUGGACAUUUAUACAAAAAACUAUCACCCCUUGCAUCACCAGACAGCAUAUCACUGACUUUCAACUGUGAUGGAGUGCCAGUGCACAAAUCAAACACAAAAAGUUUGUGGCCAAUUUUGUGUACUAUUAAUGAACUGCCAAUACAGCUACGUGCAAAACAUGUUAUGCUUUGUGGCCUGUGGUUUGGUCAAAACAAACCAAAUAUGAACACUUACAUGAAACCAUUUGUCGAUGAAUGCAUAGAGUUGUACUCUAAUGGUCUUAUAUGGGAAAGUGAAAGUGGGGAAAUUGUCACAAGUAAAGUACUGCUUACUACCAUGGUGGCAGAUUCAGUUGCUCGGCCACUGAUUCAGAACUUUAAACAGUUUAAUGGUGAGUUUGGGUGUUCUUUUUGUAUGCAGAAAGGAACAAGUGUGCUAAAACGCAGGGGGCGUGUAAGGGCUUAUCCCUAUGAAAAAGCAGAGUUGAGGAAUCCCUCCCAGACUGAUGAUCUGGUGGAAGAGGCUCUUGCUGGAAACCCCACUAAGGGAGUGAAAGGGCCUAGUAUUUUGUCUUGUCUACCUGAUUUUAAUAUCAUUGAUGGCUGUGUUCCAGAUUAUAUGCACAGUGUGCUGCUGGGUGUAGCAAGAAGCAUCACCACGCUGUGGUUUCAUUCUGAAAACAACCAAUCGCCAUGGUAUAUCGGACACUCAACAGAACAGAUUGAUGACAUUUUAACUUCUAUUAAACCCCCCUGUAAUGUUUCCCGUGUCCCCCGCUCAGUGAAAGAGAAAAAGUUCUGGAAGGCACACGAGUGGAACAUGUGGUUGUUUUAUUACAGCAUACCAACAUUGAAAGGGGUCUUACCUGAAAAAUAUCUGAAGCACUGGUUUAAGUUGGUAAAGGGGGUUUCUCUUCUACUCGGUGAGAAUAUAUCACCACUGCACAUAUCAGAAUCUGAGGGGUUGCUAACAGAGUUUGUUCAGGAAAUGGAGACCCUUUAUGGGAUCAAUAAUGUCACUUUCAAUGUACAUUUGUGCCUUCAUCUGCCCAAUACUGUGAGGAACUGGGGUCCCCUCUGGGCACAGUCUGCAUUUGUGUUUGAGUCAUACAAUGGGAUCAUUUUAGAUAUGAUAAAGAGCAGCCAGGGAGUUUCUCUGCAGAUAAUGAAAACAGUUUGGCUACAGGUUGCAUUUCCAUCAUUUUCCCAAAAAACCGUGGUGGCAGCUUCUGAUGAUUACUUAGCUCUCUUAGAGUCUUUUUCAGUUGAGAAAAAAAUGGUGCAGGAAGUAAGUCGCUGUCAUGGUGUUACAUCUCUGGGUAGGCCUAAAAUUUGUAUGAUCAGAAAUGAUGAUUUUCUGGCCUUGAACAGCAUCAGCAACCUUGAAAAUAGAGUCACUGUGAAGUAUUUUUGCAGAGUAGUGGUUAAUCUUGAAAUAGUUCAUUCACAAAACUACUCGCGUACUUUUCGGAGAAACUCGUACACUGUCAUUCUUUCUGAUCGAGAGGAAAGUAUUUUCUCUGUGAAGACAUUCAUUGUCUGUGAUCUGGGGCAGGGGGAGACAUGUUAUGCAGUGGGGAAGUACUACCAAAAAGUGAAACAGGACAUCUGCGGUCAAUUUAAGAAUCCUUGUUAUUUCAUCCCUGUAGGGAAAUGUCUGGGGCCUUUAGUUGCUAUACAAGCAUCUCAGAUAAAAGAAAAGUGUCUGUUUGUUAAAACUGUGAACAGAAAUGUUGACAUUGUCUUCAAAUUCAUUAACCACAGUGAAAUGCUCAGAUAGAUGUGGGAUGAUGAUGAUUACCUGAAUGUAUGUUCUAUGUACUUUUCUUUUGUUAGUUUUUUUGCUACAUUCAGACUGUAAUGACCUUUCAGCCAUAUUCUGGAAAAUGCAUUAAGACAAUACAGAAAACAUUGCAUUUGGUGGAUGUAACGGUGAAUGUGUGGAUGUGUAUGAGCUGUAAUGUGAAUCUGGAAGUGACUUGAAAAAAGGCUUGAUUGACAAAAAUAAAAAAAACACAAACCAUUUUGUUAUACAUUUCCUUCUUUUCCACUAUUUUCAUACAAGAAAGAAUUGACCUUGUAAAUGUUUCAGGAAAACGUGUAGACAUCAUAGCUUUCCAUCUCCUCUCACUUAAGUGCCAUAGUUAAAUUCCAUAACAUGCCAAUUAGAUGUGAUACCCAUUUCACGUGUUCGCACAUACAUAAGUUCUUGCAUAAUUUUUUUUAGUUAUUUCUUAGUUAUUGCCUUGAUAAUAGAAAAUAUGAGCUAGGCAUCAUGUAUGACAGUUUCCAAAGUGAGAUAUGAGCUACAAAAUGACCAGAUCUUGCCAUGAGCUAGGAGACGUAUCUUGUAUGUACAUAUAGGGCUUAUAUGUGGAUAUAAAGAAGCAAUACAGGAGACCUAUAUGGCCUGUAUAUGCACAUAUAUGCACCUCAAUUUUGCCUAUAUGUGGCAUAUACACGCAUAUAUGCAGCAUAUAUAUUAUCAUAUAUGUGCAUAUAUGCUGUAUAUAUGCAGCAUAUAUGUGCAUAUAGACUGCAUAUAGGUUACAUAUAUGCGCAUAUAUCCUCAUAUAGGUUCUUUCCAUGUGGG
ensembl:lncRNA